UACGUAGGGGGCAAGCGUUAUCCGGAUUUACUGGGUGUAGAGGGAGCGUAGACGGCAUGGCAAGUCAGAUGUGAAAGCCCGGGGCUCAACCCCGGGACUGCAUUUGAAACUGUCAGGCUGGAGUGCAGGAGAGGUAAGCGGAAUUCCUAGUGUAGCGGUGAAAUGCGUAGAUAUUAGGAGGAACACCAGUGGCGAAGGCGGCUUACUGGACUGUAACUGACGUUGAGGCUCGAAAGCGUGGGGAGCAAACAGG
rnacentral:rRNA from 1 species